rnacentral:tRNA from 1 species
GGGGAUUUGGCUCAGUGGUAGAGCACUUGCCUAGCAAGCGCAAGGCCCUGGGUUCGAUCCCCAGCUCUG